rnacentral:lncRNA from 1 species
GUUAAGGAGAGGGUUGGGGGCUCACAUGUGUAAUCCCGUUGCACUUUUUUGUCGGUCCAACGUCAGGAUCAUGUAGUACAUUGGUUAAAUAGAGCUGUCCUUUUUUCUUCUUUAAUACAUAAUUCAUGAGUUAUAAAUUAAUAACCGUUAGUUUUAUCGUUUUAAUUUUCAUGUUUUUUUUAUAUCGGGGCCUUUUUUAGCCGACUGUAUGGUUUAGGUUUUCUACAUUGUUAAUUUUGUACAUUGGACUAUAAUAGUUGCUUUAUACACCCACUUCAUUUAAACUUUGGUGGAAAGUUGUCUCACUGGCCAUCACACCACA